rnacentral:rRNA from 1 species
CCCGAAACCAGGUGAGCUACCCCGAGACAGCCUAUGUUAAUUUAGGGCUAACCCGUCUCUGUGGCAAAAGAGUGGGAAGAGCUCCGGGUAGAAGUGACAGACCUACCGAACCUGGUGAUAGCUGGUUGCCUGAAAAAUGGAUAGAAGUUCAGCCUCGCAUCCCCCGAUCCAACAAAUAUAUCGUCAAGAUGCUCAGGGAAACAUGCGAGAGUUAGUUAAAAGGGGUACAGCCCUUUUAACAAAGGAUACAACCUUCACAGGAGGAUAAAGAUCAUAAUAUAUAAGAUAUACUGUUCUAGUGGGCCUGAAAGCAGCCACCUAAACGGAAAGCGUUAAAGCUCGGACAGACAGAAGUUUAUUAUACUGAUAGGAAAUCUUAUUCCCCUAGCUGUAUCAGGCCAACCCAUGCCCCCAUGGAAGAGAUUAUGCUAAAAUGAGUAAUAAGAAGACACGCUCUUCUCCCGGCACACGUGUAAACCAGAUUGGACUAGCCACUGGAACUUAACGAACCCAACCCAAGAGGGCAGUGUGAUUAAUAGAAACCUCAAGAAGAACUCACAUCAACUGAUCGUUAACCCCACACUGGAGUGCUAUCUUCAAGGGAAAGACUAAAAGAGGAGGAAGGAACUCGGCAAACACAAGCCUCGCCUGUUUACCAAAAACAUCGCCUCCUGCAACUAGACUAAGUAUAGGAGGUCCAGCCUGCCCAGUGACUACGGGUUCAACGGCCGCGGUAUCUUGACCGUGCAAAGGUAGCGCAAUCACUUGUCUCUUAAAUAGAGACCUGUAUGAAUGGCUAGACGAGGGCUUAACUGUCUCCCCCCUCCAGUCAGUGAAAUUGAUCUAUCCGUGCAGAAGCGGGUAUAAAUAUACAAGACGAGAAGACCCUUUGGAGCUUAAGGUACAAAAUUCAACCACGUUAAACAACUCCAUAAAAGGCAAGAACUUAGUAGCAAUGAAAUUUUACCUUCGGUUGGGGCGACCGCGGAGGAAAAACAAGCCUCCGAGUGGACUGGGCCAAACCCCUGAAGCCAAGAGAAACAUCUAGAAGCCGCAGAAUAUCUGACCAAAAAUGAUCCGGCUAAAAGCCGAUCAACGAACCAAGUUACCCAAGGGAUAACAGCGCAAUCCCCUCCCAGAGCCCGUAUCGACGAGGGGGUUUACGACCUCGAUGUUGGAUCAGGACAUCCUAAUGGUGC